rnacentral:rRNA from 1 species
GAUGAACGCUGGCGGCGUGCCUAAUACAUGCAAGUCGAGCGAACAGACGGGGAGCUUUCUCCUCUGACGUUAGCGGCGGACGGGUGAGUAACACAUGGAUAACCUACUUAUAAGUCUGGUAUAACUUCGUGAAGUCGUAGCUAAUACGGGCUAAUAUAUUGAACCGCAGGGUUCAGUAGUUCAAGACUGUUUUGCUGUCGCUUUUCGAUGGAUCCGCGGCGCAUUAGCUAGUUGGUAAGGGAACGGCUUACCAAGGCAACGAUGCGUAGCCGACCUGAGAGGGUGAUCAGCCACACUGGAACUGAGACACGGUCCAGACUCCUACGGGAGGCAGCAGUAGGGAAUCUUCCGCAAUGGGCGCAAGCUUGACGGAGCAACGCCGCGUGAGUGAUGAAGGUCUUCGGAUCGUAAAACUCUGUCAUUAGGGAAGAACAAAUGUGUAAGUAACUAUGCACGUCUUGACGGUACCUAAACAGAAAGCCACGGCUAACUACGUG